rnacentral:rRNA from 1 species
GAUGAACGCUAGCGACAGGCUUGACACAUGCAAGUCGAGGGGCAGCGAGAGAGUAGCAAUAUUCUUGUCGGCGACCGGCGCACGGGUGAGUAACGCGUAUGCAACCUACCUAUCAGCGGGGGAUAGCCCGGCGAAAGUCGGAUUAAUACCGCAUAAUAUAUUUGAGCUUCAUGGCUUUAAUAUUAAAGAUUUAUCACUGAUAGAUGGGCAUGCGUUCCAUUAGGUAGUUGGUAGGGUAACGGCCUACCAAGCCUUCGAUGGAUAGGGGUUCUGAGAGGAAGGUCCCCCACACUGGUACUGAGACACGGACCAGACUCCUACGGGAGGCAGCAGUGAGGAAUAUUGGUCAAUGGACGAGAGUCUGAACCAGCCAAGUCGCGUGAAGGACGACGGCCCUAUGGGUUGUAAACUUCUUUUAUUGGGGAAUAAAAAGGGUCACGAGUGACCCCUUGCAUGUACCCAUAUGAAUAAGCAUCGGCUAACUCCGUGCCAGCAGCCGCGGUAAUAC